rnacentral:rRNA from 1 species
UGGGGAAUAUUGGACAAUGGGGGCAACCCUGAUCCAGCAAUGCCGCGUGAGUGAUGAAGGCCUUCGGGUUGUAAAGCUCUUUUGGCGGGGACGAUGAUGACGGUACCCGCAGAAUAAGCCCCGGCUAACUUCGUGCCAGCAGCCGCGGUAAUACGAAGGGGGCAAGCGUUGUUCGGAAUUACUGGGCGUAAAGGGCGCGUAGGCGGCCUUCUAAGUCGAACGUGAAAUCCCCGGGCUCAACCCGGGAACUGCGUCCGAUACUGGAAGGCUUGAAUCCGGGAGAGGGAUGCGGAAUUCCAGGUGUAGCGGUGAAAUGCGUAGAUAUCUGGAGGAACACCGGUGGCGAAGGCGGCAUCCUGGACCGGCAUUGACGCUGAGGCGCGAAAGCCAGGGGAGCAAA